rnacentral:rRNA from 1 species
CCUACGGGAGACAGCAGUGGGGGAUAUUGCACAAUGGGGGGAACCCUGAUGCAGCGACGCCGCGUGGGUGAAGAAGCGCCUCGGCGCGUAAAGCCCUGUCAGCAGGGAAGAAAAUGACGGUACCUGAAGAAGAAGCCCCGGCUAACUACGUGCCAGCAGCCGCGGUAAUACGUAGGCGGCAAGCGUUAUCCGGAUUUACUGGGUGUAAAGGGGGCGCAGACGGCGAUGCAAGCCAGGAGUGAAAGCCCGGGGCCCAACCCCGGGACUGCUCUUGGAACUGCGUGGCUGGAGUGCAGGAGGGGUAGGCGGAAUUCGUGGUGUAGCGGUGAAAUGCGUAGAUAUCAGGAGGAACACCGGUGGCGAAGGCGGCCUACUGGCCUGAAACUGACGUUGAGGCCCGAAAGCGUGGGGAGCAAACAGGAUUAGAUACCCGGGUAGUC